rnacentral:rRNA from 1 species
AUUGAACGCUGGCGGCAGGCCUAACACAUGCAAGUCGGACGGUAGCACAGAGAGCUUGCUCUCGGGUGACGAGUGGCGGAAGGGUGAGUAAUGUCCGGGGAUCUGCCCGAUAGAGGGGGAUAACCCCUAGCAACGGUGGCUAAUACCGCCUACCGUCGCAAGACAAAAGAGGGGGACCUUCGGGCCUCCCCCUACCGGAGGAACCCAGAUGGGAUUAGCUAGUAGGCGGGGUAAGGGCCCACCUAGGCGACGAUCCCUAGCUGGUCUGAGAGGAUGACCAGCCACACUGGAACUGAGACACGGUCCAGACUCCUACGGGAGGCAGCAGUGGGGAAUAUUGCACAAUGGGCGCAAGCCUGAUGCAGCCAUGCCGCGUGUAUGAAGAAGGCCUUCGGGUUGUAAAGUACUUUCAGCGGGGAGGAAGGCGAUGUGGUUAAUAACCGCGUCGAUUGACGUUACCCGCAGAAGAAGCACCGGCUAACUCCGUGCCAGCAGCCGCCGUAA